UAAUCGCGCAUCAGCCAUGGCGCGGUGAAUACGUUCCCGGGCCUUGUACACACCGCCCGUCACACCAUGAGAGUUGAGAAUACCCGAAGCCCAUGUCAAAGUGGUCGAAGGUAGGCUUGAUGAUUGGGGUGAAGUCGUAACAAGGUAAC
rnacentral:rRNA from 1 species